ensembl:snRNA U4 U4 spliceosomal RNA
AGCUUUGUGCAGUAGCAGUAUAGUAGUCAAAGAGGUUUAUCCAAGGUGCGAUUAUUGCUAAUUGAAAAGUUUAUAUACUU